rnacentral:rRNA from 1 species
GAUGAACGCUGGCGGCGUGCCUAAUACAUGCAAGUCGAGCGAACGGACGAGAAGCUUGCUUCUCUGAUGUUAGCGGCGGACGGGUGAGUAACACGUGGAUAACCUACCUAUAAGACUGGGAUAACUUCGGGAAACCGUAGCUAAUACCGGAUAAUAUUUUGAACCGCAUGGUUCAAAAGUGAAAGACGGUCUUGCUGUCACUUAUAGAUGGAUCCGCGCUGCAUUAUCUAGUUGGUAAGGUAACGGCUUACCAAGGCAACGAUGCAUAGCCGACCUGAGAGGGUGAUCGGCCACACUGGAACUGAGACACGGUCCAGACUCCUACGGGAGGCAGCAGUAGGGAAUCUUCCGCAAUGGGCGAAAGCCUGACGGAGCAACGCCGCGUGAGUGAUGAAGGUCUUCGGAUCGUAAAACUCUGUUAUUAGGGAAGAACAUAUGUGUAAGUAACUGUGCACAUCUUGACGGUACCUAUUCAGAAAGCCACGGCUAACUACGUG